rnacentral:rRNA from 1 species
UACGUAGGGGGCAAGCGUUGUCCGGAUUUAUUGGGCGUAAAGAGCGUGUAGGCGGCCAUACAGGUCCGUUGUGAAAACUGGAGGCUUAACCUCCAGACGUCGAUGGAAACCGUAUGGCUAGAGUCCGGAAGAGGAGAGUGGAAUUCCUGGUGUAGCGGUGAAAUGCGCAGAUAUCAGGAGGAACACCGGUGGCGAAGGCGGGUCUCUGGGCCGUAACUGACGCUGAGGAGCGAAAGCAUGGGGGAGCGAACAGG